rnacentral:Y_RNA from 1 species
AGCUGGUCCGAGUGCAGUGGUGCUUACAACUAAUUGAUCAUAACCAGUUACAGAUGCCUUUGUUCCUUCUCCACUCCCACUGCUUCACCUGACCGGCCUUUU